rnacentral:rRNA from 1 species
GACGAACGCUGGCGGCGUGCUUAACACAUGCAAGUCGAACGGUAAGGCCCUUCGGGGUACACGAGUGGCGAACGGGUGAGUAACACGUGGGUGAUCUGCCCUGCACUUCGGGAUAAGCCUGGGAAACUGGGUCUAAUACCGGAUAGGACCACUGCCUGCAUGGGUGGUGGUGGAAAGCUUUUGCGGUGUGGGAUGGGCCCGCGGCCUAUCAGCUUGUUGGUGGGGUGAUGGCCUACCAAGGCGACGACGGGUAGCCGGCCUGAGAGGGUGACCGGCCACACUGGGACUGAGAUACGGCCCAGACUGCUACGGGAGGCAGCAGUGGGGAAUAGUGCACACUGGGCGCAAGCCGGAUGCAGCGACGCCGCGUGAGGGAUGACGGCCUUCGGGUUGUAAACCUCUUUCAGCACCGACGAAGCGCAAGUGACGGUAGGUGCAGAAGAAGGACCGGCCAACUACGUGCCAGCCGCCGCAGUAA